rnacentral:rRNA from 1 species
UACGUAGGGACCAAGCGUUGUUCGGAUUUACUGGGCGUAAAGGGCGCGUAGGCGGCGUGACAAGUCACUUGUGAAAUCUCUGAGCUUAACUCAGAACGGCCAAGUGAAACUGUUGUGCUAGAGUGCAGAAGGGGCAAUCGGAAUUCUUGGUGUAGCGGUGAAAUGCGUAGAUAUCAAGAGGAAUACCUGAGGUGAAGACGGGUUGCUAGGCUGACACUGACGCUGAGGCGCGAAAGCCAGGGGAGCAAACGGG